GGACUACCCGGGUAUCUAAUCCUGUUUGAUCCCCACGCUUUCGUGCCUGAGCGUCAAUAAUGAGCCAGAUGACCGCCUUCGCCACUGGUGUUCCUCCUGAUAUCUACGCAUUCCACCGCUACACCAGGAAUUCCAUCAUCCUCUCUCACAUUCAAGACCUGCCGUAUCAAAGGCAUUUCCCUCGUUAAGCGAGGGUCUUUAACCUCUGACGCACAGAUCCGCCUGCGCACCCUUUAUACCCAGUAAAUCCGGACAACGCUUGGGUCCUACGUAUUACCGCGGCGGCUGGCAC
rnacentral:rRNA from 1 species